CUUUGUCUGCGGUGCGCGCCGGGCUUUAUAUUUCCUUGAACCAAUGCUCAUUGAGCACGGGCUUGGAACAUGCCAGUUAGGUGAGAGCGUCUCGCGUCAGAUGAACCCGAAGACUGGCUGACCUCGCCCACCUGAACCCCCGGUUCAGGAUGACGGUCCGGCGGCAUUCGCAGACACCUU
rnacentral:other from 1 species